GACGAACGCUGGCGGCGUGCUUAACACAUGCAAGUCGAGCGGAAAGGCCCUUCGGGGUACUCGAGCGGCGAACGGGUGAGUAACACGUGAGUAACCUGCCCUUCACUUUGGGAUAACCCUCGGAAACGGGGGCUAAUACCGGAUAUGACACACCGAUGCAUGUUGUGUGUGUGGAAAGAUUUUUUGGUGGGGGAUGGGCUCGCGGCCUAUCAGCUUGUUGGUGGGGUGAUGGCCUACCAAGGCGACGACGGGUAGCCGGCCUGAGAGGGCGACCGGCCACACUGGGACUGA
rnacentral:rRNA from 1 species